CUGUCUUUGCCUUCUGCUGCUUAUUUGCUGCUUAAUUGGCCCUAGAAACACGUGCUUUCCUGGCCCUGUUCCUCCAAGGGCUCCACCCUGAAGCCAGCAAUCCAAUUAAGAAACUGAAAGAAGAAAGAGCUUUAACAGACAUUUGAUAAUGAAUUGUUACUUCUUACUCAUGUUUAUAUAUAAACCCUUGACUGUCAAUGCUAUAAAAGACAAUUCAAAAGGAAGAAAUGCAAUUAUAUUGAAACACCAUUCACAAACAUCACAACAAGAAAUGCAGUCUACUUUAACUGUGGAGGUCUGAAUGCAGACCAUCUGUACCUGAAUACAGCUGCAGACCUGCAUUUUGUUCAAGAAAAACACCUCUCUGCUUGUGGAACAAGACACAAGAUAACACACAGAAAGGAAGAGUAAUUGAGAAGGGAGGAAACAUAUCAGGUGAGAAAGAACUUACUUUGUACGAAAUAUACUGGUAGUAGUCAACGUGAGAAGGAAAAGAAAAGUAUUGUGUGAUGAGCAAUACUCAAGCCAUGCCUUUAG
rnacentral:lncRNA from 13 species